GAUGAAGAACGUAGUGAAAUGCGAUAAAUAAUGUGAAUUGCAGAAUUCAGUGAAUCAUCGAGUCUUUGAACGCACAUUGCGCCCCCUGGUAUUCCGGGGGGCAUGCCUGUCCGAGCGUCAUUGCUGCCCUCAAGCACGGCUUGUGUGUUGGGCCUCCGUCCUCCUCCCGGGGGACGGGCCCGAAAGGCAGCGGCGGCACCGCGUCCGGUCCUCGAGCGUAUGGGGCUUCGUCACCCGCUCUUGUAGGCCCGGCCGGCGCUUGCCGACACAUCAAUCUUUUUUCCAGGUUGACCUCGGAUCAGGUAGGGAUACCCGCUGAACUUAAGCAUAUCAAUAAGCGGAGGA
rnacentral:misc_RNA from 1 species